rnacentral:rRNA from 1 species
UUGGACAAUGUCUUCCCGAUCCUGAAGCGGCGAAAGCCAAGAAGGAAACGGAAACGCCGAUCUCGCUUCUUUUCCGGUCUGGUGGCUUUAGCACGAGCAAAACACCCGAUCCCAUCCCGAACUCGGCCGUUAAGUGCCGUCGCGCCAAUGGUACUGCGUCAAAAGACGUGGGAGAGUAGGUCACCGCCAGAC